rnacentral:rRNA from 1 species
GUGAACGCUGGCGGUAGGCCUAACCCCUGCAAGUCGAACGGCAGCACAGUAAGAGCUUGCUCUUACGGGUGGCGAGUGGCGGACGGGUGAGGAAUACAUCGGAAUCUACUUUUUCGUGGGGGAUAACGUAGGGAAACUUACGCUAAUACCGCAUACGACCUACGGGUGAAAGCAGGGGAUCUUCGGACCUUGCGCGAUUGAAUGAGCCGAUGUCGGAUUAGCUAGUUGGCGGGGUAAAGGCCCACCAAGGCGACGAUCCGUAGCUGGUCUGAGAGGAUGAUCAGCCACACUGGAACUGAGACACGGUCCAGACUCCUACGGGAGGCAGCAGUGGGGAAUAUUGGACAAUGGGCGCAAGCCUGAUCCAGCCAUACCGCGUGGGUGAAGAAGGCCUUCGGGUUGUAAAGCCCCUUUGUUGGGAAAGAAAAGCAGCAGGUUAAUACCCCGCUGUUCUGACGGUACCCAAAGAAUAAGCACCGGCUAACUUCGUG